rnacentral:rRNA from 1 species
AAUGAACGCUGGCGGCAUGCCUUACACAUGCAAGUCGAACGGCAGCAUGACCUCGCUUGCUAGGUUGAUGGCGAGUGGCGAACGGGUGAGUAAUGCAUCGGAACGUGCCUUUUAGUGGGGGAUAACGUAGCGAAAGUUACGCUAAUACCGCAUAUUCUCUGAGGAGGAAAGCAGGGGGCCUUCGGGCCUUGCGCUAGAAGAGCGGCCGAUGUCGGAUUAGCUAGUUGGUGCGGUAAAGGCUCACCAAGGCAACGAUCCGUAGCGGGUCUGAGAGGAUGAUCCGCCACACUGGGACUGAGACACGGCCCAGACUCCUACGGGAGGCAGCAGUGGGGAAUUUUGGACAAUGGGCGCAAGCCUGAUCCAGCCAUGCCGCGUGAGUGAAGAAGGCCUUCGGGUUGUAAAGCUCUUUCGGCUGGGAAGAAAUCGCACUCUCUAAUACAGGGUGUGGAUGACGGUACCAGCAUAAGAAGCACCGGCUAACUACGUG